rnacentral:rRNA from 1 species
UACGUAGGGUGCGAGCGUUAAUCGGAAUUACUGGGCGUAAAGCGUGCGCAGGCGGUUUAUUAAGUCUGUGGUGAAAGUGCGGGGCUCAACCCUGUAUGGCCACAGAAACUGAUCGACUAGAGUACAGGAGAGGGCAGUGGAAUUCCAUGUGUAGCGGUAAAAUGCGUAGAUAUAUGGAGGAACACCGGUGGCGAAGGCGGCUGCCUGGCCUGUAACUGACGCUGAGGCACGAAAGCGUGGGGAGCAAAUAGG